rnacentral:lncRNA from 1 species
CUUCCCUCCCCUCCCUUCACUGUUCGUAGCUCGUAGAUCUGACCCCUGUCUGAUCGAAAUUUUGUUAGGUUUGCUGUUGAUAGGUUCGUGUUGAUGUGUGCUAUUUGAAACCCUACAUCUUCCAUCUGUUCCGUGUUCUUGCGAUUUGGAACCCUAGGACCUUGAUUUGAUGGUUUGUAUGUGAGUGGAUUUGAAGGAGACGACUACCCAGUAGGAGUAGUAACCUUCUAUGAAGGGAUUGUGUUUGAUUGGUGGAAGCUGUGCCCAUGUCGUGAAGCCUUGGUAGAUUGAUCUGGAUCCCCUGCCAUAUUUUAAUAGUGAUUCACUUUUUUAUGCAUUUUCCAUAACCUGAGUAAAGUUUCACAGUCCACAUUUAUUUGCUUCUACAUGUGUUUAUCUAUCUAGGAUCGCUGAAAAUGAAGGCUGGUGAUGGUGACCUUGAGUUUAUGCAUUUUCAAUGAACCUGAGUAAAGUUUAACAGUCCACAUUUAUUUACUUGUACAUUUGUUUAUCUAUCUAGGAUCGCUGAAGAUGAGGCCUGUGGAUGGCGACCUUCAGCUUACAUUUGGGGCUGAUGGGAAUGUGGUGGCCCGUUUUGUCAAGACUCAAAUUCCC